rnacentral:sRNA from 1 species
AUGCAGAAAAAUAUCCUUGUGGAUUAUGGACUCCGACGAAUCACAUUCUUGAUUGCCCAAGAGAAAGAAUUUCCCAAGUUUUUCACAUUCAGAGCAAGAGAUGAGGUAUGGCCAAAAGUAAUGAUGUUUUCUCUUCUCUGGCAUCUUUUUUUAUUUUUUAAGAGAUGGGAUGGGGCCGGGUGUGGUGGCUCACGCCGGUAAUCCUAGCACUUUGGGAGGCUGAGGCAGGAGGUUUGCUUGAGCUCAGGAGUUCUAGACCAGCCUGGGUUAUAUAGUGAGACCCUGUCUCUACAAAAAAAUUAAAAAAUCAGCCUGGCACUGUGGUACAAGCCUGUGGUCCCAGCUACUUGGGAGGCUGAGGUGGGAGGAUUGCUUGAACCUGGGAAGUAGAGGUUUCAGUGAGCCAAGAUGAUGCCACUGCACUCUAGCCCAGGCUGGACUCGAACUUAUGGCUUAAGUGAUCCUCCUGCUUCAGCCUCCCGAGUAGCUGGGACUAUAGGCACAUGCCACCGUGCCUCCCAGCUCCCUGGCAUCUUUGAUAUUCAUGAAGAAUAUAGUCUGCAGUCCUUAAGGCAUCCCCAUAUUCAAGAAUGUAGCAACUUUUGUGUAGACUGCAGUCUUCCUCUGGGAUUGUAUUUCCAUUGAGAGCCCUCUGUUCCCUGCAUGGCACUCAGACCUGAGAAUCUUGCCCUUUCAGCCUCACUACAGGUUUCUGUCUUGCUUGAAUAAUUUUCAGUACUUGCUGAUGUACUCAGUAAGACAUUUUU